ACAGCGGUCGGUGUCACGGGGGGGCGGGGGGAGAAAGAGGGGGAGAGAAAGAAAGAAAGAAAGGUGGGAGAAGUGAACACAAAAGGAGAGGCGAGAAAGGAGAAGUUGCUCUUGGGCAAUGGGCACAGCCGUCUACCUUUUCCGUGCUGAGCACAGGCCGAGCCAUUCAGCUCCAAUUGUCAUUAUCAUAUUGAUUAAGUUCAUCAGAGAGCAAUUUUAGGUUUAACGCCAGCGGAUUGGGAGAGGGAGCAAAGAAUUAUCUAAGAAAAGCACAACAUUCUUACCUCAGGGACGUUUCCCUGUUCCAGUUCAUUGAGGGAGUUGAUUAAGUUUAAAUGAAGCAGACACUGGAUAAAAGUAAGGGUAUUGACCACUGGGCAGCGCGGUCUGCGCUUGAAAAGGCCUGAUACAUGCAGAAAAGCAAGAUUUGCUAAAUGCUCUAAUCUUCAAUCAAAUCUUACAUCAAUACAGACAAAGUUUGGUAAUGAGAGAUUCAAUGAAGCAUGCGGGAGAAAGAAUUAAUCCUCUUGGUCUAAACUGGGUUCAACUUUGAAGCCUGCUCCGAAGGAAAGACAGUUAUCUAAAUGCUAAAUAAGAAACUUAUUGUACUUUUCAUGGCAUGCUAAUCUUUUGUCUAUUUCAUCUCUAUUAUUUGUAUGCUUAUAGGCGGCAGUUGUCAUGGUGAUUAUAUCAAACCACUUCUGUGUGGAUGGCUGCGAGGAAUCGGGGCCUCCCUCCAGCCGUCCGCCGGGGCCAGCCCGCCCGCCCGCUGCUCUGCGCGCCCGCGGCAGCGCCCCGCGCCCGCGGCCGGCCCCGCACCGGCCCCGCCGCUCGGCCCGCGGGGACACGGGCGGGGCAGAAAUCGCCUCCCUGGCAGCUUUUUGGCAACACCGGCCCCUUCCUCCCUCCCCUGCGUCACCCAAACCGCAGGGAUCUCCUUCUAUGAAGAGUUCCAUGAAGAGGUACCUUUUUCUCCCCCUUUUCUCUCUUUUUUUUUUUUUUUUUUUUUUUUUUUGUGAGCUUGCCUUGAUAAGCUUUUGAUGUCACAAAUCAAACACUCGCCAGGAGGUAGAUAAUGGGGAGUGUGAUCUCCUCUAUUUGUACAUAGACAGCGCUUUUGCACCGGCGCUGCCUUGAACCCGUGUCAAACUCCCCGGGCUUUGCUGGACUCUGCCCGCCGCCCCGGCCCGCCCCGCCGGAGGGGCCGCCCCGCUGCCCGCCCGUCCCACCGGGACUCGCGGCUGCCCGGGGCCGGGGCAGCCCCUGACAAGGGGAACUCAGAUUCCUGUUAUGCAAAUACCGAGGGCACAUUAACUCCUCUCCAUCACUCCGAUAGGAGACUAAACUCUGGAGCACCGGAAUAAAACAAACGACUCCUCCUCUCAGAAGGUAUCUGACUUUGUACCGAUGCGCUUGCAGUUAGCUCCGCGCUGACUCUCGUUUCAUCUGUCAGUUAUCCUUUUCCCGGGCUUGUCAACCGCGGUUUUAUAGAUUCACUUGUGAUCUGCAUCCUUCCUCAACAGGAACAUGCAGCCAGGUCGCAAUUAAAUAUACAGAUACACGAGCUGUUAGCAAGAUUGCACCCUCCCAUCCGCAGCCGAGCCGCGGAGAUGAUUGCCCUGUCACUUCUCCUUUAGACUUAAAGCGCCUAAAAGGUCGCCGGCGGAGCUCCGCGUUCGGUAGCCCGGCGCUCGCUUUGUCCGCCCCUUCUCGCCCCCGUGGCUCCUCUGAAGCCCUCGCUGCCGGCGGCGCCCCGCACCGCCCCGCACGGAGCGCUCCUCGGCCGCGCACGGGGCUCGGUCAUGGGUUUGGCCGCUCUCGGGGCUCCCCACGGUGGGGAAAGCGGGAGAAGGAUGCAGACGUGCCCCGUCGAGGCCCAGAGCUGCCGGGCAAGCGGCGCUCUGCCACCAGCGCCGGCAGCGGCACCUCCUCCGGCCGGCCGGGCGUGCUGUACGGAGCCGGUGCAAAUGGACGCUCCCGAUGGAACCAGCUCUGCAGUCACGCUUACGACCAGAGGGAGAGCAAGACGGCCCUUCGUUGAGGAAGCGAGUGUGAAAACCCUUCUACUAGUUUAAAAUGCUUUCCUACUUCUACAGCUGCCCGCACCAUAAGGAGAUCAUACUAAACACUAACAACUGGAACCACUUCAAUUAGACCACUAAAACAAACACCCUAUUUUAUAAGUCUAAUUUUACUUUUUUAUGUUUUAAGCACCAUUAAAUUCAUAAAACAACCCCCACAAAACUGUUUAAUCGAACUCAGAAAAAAAAAUAAAUUACAAUGUUACAAAGCAAGUAACUUCAAUUCUACUCGCCAGUUCCAGCGUGGACAGUCAGCACUGUCACCACAGGGAAGACCUUAAAACCCGGCAAACCCCACUACCAUUUGAGAAGCAAUAAAUACAGCCUGGGCUUGACCAAGAAGACAUCAGGCAGAACGGGGAUACCACUUUCUGUACUUCUAACUCAUCAGAAUCGUUGUAUUAACUUGGAAUUGGAAUGAAACUUGCUAAAAUAACCAGGUCCCAAGACAGUAACAUCUUAACCAAAAAAACCCACCCUCCUUCUACACCUGUAGAGGAAGCAGCAGGCUGGGCAGGGCGUGAAGCAUGGGUGGAGCAAGUUUCCUGCAAGAAACAGGACAAACUGACACAGUGCCAUUCAGUGCCACAUUUGAGUGGCCUUCAGCUCCCGUCGUCCUGCCACUGUAUCACAAAAACUCUGCACACCAGCGACGGGACAGUUAUCCGAUAGUGUCCUUGAAGGAAGAGUCCCAGCCUUCUCACCAAGCAGACGGAAAGCGUCGGUGUUGCUCAGUGAGGGUUGCUCAGUGAUGCCUGCCCAAGCUGUAAUCUGGUUAGCAAAACAGUACCAGGGCGUUCUGGGAAUAGGAGCCUCACCUUGCCCUUGAAAUGGCCACACACCGUACCCGCUGCUGCGCUCCUGUGGCUGUAUGUGAUGCACCUACACAGCAUUUCUGCCGGGAUCAGGGCAGGAACUAUCUGCCCUGCUGUGUUGUUAGUUCCUCCCCCGUCACCUGCUUUAGAUUUUAAGAUAAUUUGAUAUACCACAGAUAUAUCCAAGCCUUCAUCAGGCACUGAUUAAAUUGUUCAACUUCACCAAGUAGGCUUGAUUAACCACAAACUUGGAGCUGGAUGUGACCUUCAUAUGGGCACCACAAGCCUACAUAUGAAUAGGAAAGCCUACCUGCAGGCUGGCGGGAGGGUGGCAAAACGGAGCCUGCAGGAGCACAACCUCCCCCCAGUCUCCCUGAGCCCCCUUGGGCACAGAGGCUGCUCAGGCUUCUCAGAAAGCAACCACUUACAGGAAAGCAACACCCUCGGAGGCUCAUAGGCCCGAGGACUGGUCACCUGCUGGUCCAGAGCCCGUCAAAGUCAGAAAAGAUUUUCAGAAAUGGGCAGGCAUCUCUUUGGCUCGCAGGAGGUGUUUUUCACCACGGGCAGGGCAGAGAGCUUACCACUCCCAGCCAGGCUGCACUGAGGUUAGGUCUUGGGGGUUUUGUUACCGGGGUGGGAUAGCUUUGCCACAGCUUCUCCAGGCUGGGGUGGGUUGGAAGCUGCACCUUUUGGCUGCUGCUCCGGUCUCUGGCACCCUCACCUUUAGAGACAACGUGAUGCUUUAAAAUAAGCACUGGCAGAUUAAUCCUCUAUGUAUUUCUGGUCCUAUAACGCAUGCAAUUCGACCUGCAAGAUAAAUAGAUUGUAACACUUUUAUAAAUCAACAUUUUACACAACACAUCCUGCUUCUGUGAGCUAACCUUGUCUUCAGAGCUGACAAAUCCCAGCACCAUCGCUCUGAAGCAUUGAAAUGGUGAGACAGCAAUCUACUUAGCCAGAAUGUACCUCUGAAAAUAAGUAUUUAAAACUGUACAAUGCAUCUGGAGUUGAUUUAUGAAAUAGUCAGGAGUUAAAAAUUUUAUAUAUUAGCAAAAAUAACUAGACCUUUAAAACCAAGAAGCCUUCAGGCUGUAGUGAAAAAAUCAUUGAUGUAGGAAAAGCAUCUGUAUUUUGAUGACAGUACUGUCACACGCAGGGAAAAAAAAUCAUAAAACAGUUUUCCCUUUCCCGUAGAUAAAUAAGAGAGAAAAACCUUGCAAUUUUGCACCAGCUGCGUGAAAUGCUUUCUAGUGAAGCGUUCGCAUUUUAACUUUCGAUUAUUAACGAUCCAGCCUUAUAUUGCCGCAUGAAAACGCCCGCUUCUUCGCAGAGAAAAUAAAGAGAAUAAUAACAAACAAAAGCAAGUCCCCGGCCGGCAGGGUCUGCAGCCUGCGCGGGGCUGCCCGCGGCCCGGGCUGCGGCGGGAGCGCUGCCCGCGGCCCGGAGGGAGCCCGCGGUGCCGCUCACCUGCGCGGCCAGGGCGGGACGGGCCGGGCCCCGCAUCGCCGCUCAGCCACGGACUUACCCCAGCGCCCUCUGCGCGUACAGCCUUUCUUUUCUUUUUUUCCUAAUAAAAAUACUAAUG